rnacentral:rRNA from 1 species
GAUGAACGCUAGCGGCAGGCUUAACACAUGCAAGUCGAGGGGCAGCGCGGGGCGGCAACGUCCUGGCGGCGACCGGCGGAAGGGUGCGUAACGCGUGAGCGACAUGCCCGUUGCCCGGGGACAACCGGUGGAAACGCCGACUAAUCCCCGAUGGGACGGAGGCCCUCAUGGGUCUCUGUUGAAAGUUACGGCGGCGACGGAUUGGCUCGCGUCCGAUUAGCUUGUUGGCGGGGUAACGGCCCACCAAGGCUACGAUCAGUAGGGGUUCUGAGAGGAAGGUCCCCCACAUUGGAACUGAGACACGGUCCAAACUCCUACGGGAGGCAGCAGUGAGGAAUAUUGGUCAAUGGGCGAGAGCCUGAACCAGCCAAGUAGCGUGCAGGAAGACGGCCCUAUGGGUUGUAAACUGCUUUUAUAAGGGAAUAAAGUGAGCCUCGUGAGGUUUUUUGCAUGUACCUUAUGAAUAAGGACCGGCUAAUUCCGUG